GUUGAGUAGAUAAGAUACUUCCUUGCUUUCAUUCAUUUAGCCACCAUGACAUCCCCCAAAGGAAAACAAUGGCCCAUUUUUCUCUGAUCCAGACUAUGAAGAGGAAUGUUUAACAAGUCAAAAUUGGGGAACAAAUCAAGCCGCACUGCCAUUCACCACGUUAAUCAACAGAGUCACUAGAAAUAACCCAGUGAAACCCCCGAUCUUCUGAGUUUCUAAUGUCAUGGAGACAACACGCCUGUCAGAUGUUGCUGUAAUAACUGUAUCCUUAAUCAUGCCUGUGUGGGCUGCUGCUUGCUCCCUUUAUCUCCCUUGUCAUUGCUGAUAACCUCCUUCAAAUUAACAUCUCUCUUGAAAGAGACAAGGAGUUGAAAGGGUCGUCUGCCCAGCCCUGCUGUCUCUCAACAAUAAAUGCCAAAGUUCUUAGCAAUAUAAAUGGGCUUCUCCUGGCAAAGAUCUUGACUUUUAGCAGUUUGUAGUUAAUUAUAUAAUGAUUACAUUUAGUUCUGGCAUAAAGUAUUGAUGAGCAUCCCAGCAAAUCAUGAUCUCAAGGUCAGUGCAUUGCAGGUCAUUGUCCUUUAGCAGCAAACCACAGCUAAGGGAAACGAUGGCUUCAUAAAGAGAACCUUCAGCUGUGCUCCUCACAAGAUUCUCAAAGCUGCAAGUAGGAAGUCAAGGUUUCUUACCAAGGCAAUGGCCUUGAAGGAAAUAUUCAGAAGACCUUGCAGAAAUAAGGGCAGAAGCAUUUCUUAACCCUUGGGAGAGGAGAACUGCACUAGGGAGAGGUUGAGCUUGCCUCUUCUUUCACUCAGUCGGAAUGUAAAAGAGUUGCAAGAUUGAGAGCCCAGAUGUUGCCGAGAUGUUCCUCUCCUUUUCCCUCUUGGUGAGAACAGGUGAAGAGCUACAUCAGAUCUGAGGCACAGCAGAAUCAGGAAACGGUAUUAGGAGCAAAUAUAGCAUUUGACUCUUAUAGUACAGAAUACGGUUUGCAUGAGAGAAACCAGGCUUCCAGUAGCAGAAUUACAGAACAGGAGUUGGAGCAGUCUUGGGGCUUUGCGCACUCCUGUUUGGGCUUCUUCUUUGGACCUGUGCCAAGCUCUUGAUCCAGAGGCAGAACUUCCCUGAAUCCAUCCAGAGAAGGACCAAUGCUAGGUGUGAACCAGAGGUGGUAUUCAGCCAGUUUGGACCGGUUCGCCCGAAGUGGUAGUGGAAAUCGCAGGUGGGGCCUGCCUACCCACCCCGACUCUAUGCUGUCCUAUUUAGGCAUGUUUUCAAGCCAAAGCGCAUGCCCAGAAGACUAAGUGCACGCGUGGACGUGUGCACUCACAUUUGUGAAACGGUAAGGAAAGUAAGUGAAUACCAUCUCUGGUGUAAUAAUUUUAGUUGAUUUUAAUUGAAAAAACAAGUGUGUGUAUAUCACAAUAUAAAAUAGCCAUAAUUUUAAGGAUACUAGACUAAUUUGAAAGGAUACUAGACUAAUUUACAGAGAUUACUAUCAAUGGGAUUCUCAUCUUGAUGACUACUUUCCUCUUCAAUCCAACAUACCAUAACUUACUUACUGUUAAGAAGGAAAAGGAGGUGAAAGCCCUUUU